rnacentral:sRNA from 1 species
GUUUUCCCACUGACUCUCGUUGUUAUUGGAAAACUAUUACUACCUGAAAUGUAGUGAGAACGUUUUUGAGUGAAGUUUGGUCAGAGGUCAGGCAACAUAGUUGGAUUGAUACACACCCCCCGGACUUCUGGCAGCUCUAAGCCUCUGCUCCCUACUUCCCUUCUGAUCUUGCUGACCCUUCUCUUCUCUGCCAAACCAGAGCAACGUUCCUAAUGGCCCCAGCACUCUGUACCACCAUUUGUUGCUUCCCUACUCUCCCCUGUCUGUGUUUAAGUCCUGCAGAGUGACAUUGAGAUAAAGCAGAUUUCAGGCGUUCUUUUAACCGCCCCGAUGCCGAAACCAACAGAAAACACAAGAAAGUGAUAUCCACCAAUGAAGAGAGACACCAAAAUACUUAACAAAACACUAGCGAAGAAAGUCAAAUCCAACCGUUGCCGAGUGGGUUUAACCCAGGAAUACAAGCAUUUGGUUAGAGGCGCGUCAAGUGAGCCAUCUGAACAGCAGACAGCUUCCUGGGUCUUCAUGGUCAUUUUAUGCAGUCUAGAGAGACAGAUCAAACUUACUUCUGAAGAGAACAGGGUAGCAGCAGAUUCCAGAGAGCUACUGACUUUGGUGCCUCCUUUU